UGUAUGCCCCCCUUCGAAGAAGAGGGGGUAUAUUGCUUUGCUCAUGUCGGUCUGUCGGUCGGUCUGUCUGUCGGUCCGUCCACCAGGUGGUUGUCAGACGAUAACUCAAGAACGCUUGGGCCUAGGAUCAUGAAACUUCAUAGGUACAUUGAUCAUGACUAGCAGAUGACCCCUAUUGAUUUUGAGGUCACUAGGUCAAAGGUCAAGGUCACGGUGACCCGAAAUAGUAAAAUGGUUUCCGGAUGAUAACUCAAGAACGCAUACGCCUAGGAUCAUGAAACUUCAUGGGUAGAUUAAUCAUGACUCGCAGAUGACCCCUAUUAAUUUUGAGGUCACUAGGUCAAAGGUCAAGGUCACGGUGACCCGAAAUAGUAAAAUGGUUUUCGGAUGAUAACUCAAGAACGCAUACGCCUAAGAUCAUGAAACUUCAUAGGUAGAUUGAUCAUGACUUGCAGAUUACCCCUAUUGAUUUUGAGGUCACAAGGUCAAAGGUCAAGGUCAAGGUGACCAAAAAUAGUAAAAUGAU